GCAGCAAACCGAGUAAGGAAUGUGUCAGGGACUACGAGAACAUUCCCAUUUCUUGUGUUUCUACGUGAAAUGCAUUUCUAGCCACACCCAUAAAGAACUUGUCUCUCCAGACGGUACACAGUGGGCACCGAUUUGCUUCCUCAAGUGUGCAUCUAAGGACUUGGGCUGCGCGUUGUAAAGUUUCCCUCGGCAACUGCUAAAAUUAUUCACGAGGCACUGCAGCAUGGCAGCAGCUAUCAGCUGUGGAACGCUUUGGAAUGUGCACUUCUGUUAUUACAAAUCCUGGCUGCAUUAGAUUGGGUCCCACCUGCUCAUCCAUCGAUUGGCUUAGGUAAGAGUGCCUUGUUUGAAGCCUCAGCAACCGCUGAGAAACCAGCACCACCGAGGAGCAGCAUCACAUCUCAUGCACUGCCUCUUCCAUGGGGGAGUUCAGAGCAGAUGAACAAUUUCUUAGCAACUGAGCCACAACCAAGAGCUGAGAAAGGACGGGAGAGAAAACACAAACCAAAUCGCCUUGCAAGUAAAAUACACAACCUGUUUGUUUAACCCAAUUUGUGCCAAAUAACAUUAUAGAUCCACUCAAUCUCAGCCACUUGAGGCUCACAAUCAAUGUUCUAAGAGCAGGAGAGGGAGGGUGAUGGAUCUGCUCUGAUUCAUACCUGGGGGAGACCCUCUCCUGCAACAGUCAGGGGUUCUACAUAAUGAGGUCGGCAGAGAGAACUGUGAAUUGAUUAUUAAUUAAACUGCUUGAUCACCUCCUUGGAAAAUGUAUGACCAAAUGUUGGUGCACAGAAAGUGAUUUACAUAAUCAAGUUUGAAUUUGACUCAUAAUACAGUACAAAACUACCUUAAUAAAUGGAAAUUUAAAAAAAUCA
rnacentral:lncRNA from 1 species